rnacentral:rRNA from 1 species
CCUACGGGUGGCAGCAGUGGGGAAUAUUGGACAAUGGGGGGAACCCUGAUCCAACCAUGCCGCGUGUGUGAAGAAGGCCCUCGGGUUGUAAAGCACUUUCAGUGAGGAAGAACGCCUGGUGGUUAAUACCCAUCAGGAAAGACAUCACUCACAGAAGAAGCACCGGCUAACUCCGUGCCAGCAGCCACGGUAAUACGGAGGGUGCGAGCGUUAAUCGGAAUUACUGGGCGUAAAGCGCGCGUAGGUGGCUUGAUAAGCCGGUUGUGAAAGCCCCGGGCUCAACCUGGGAACGGCAUCCGGAACUGUCAAGCUAGAGUGCAGGAGAGGAAGGUAGAAUUCCCGGUGUAGCGGUGAAAUGCGUAGAGAUCGGGAGGAAUACCAGUGGCGAAGGCGGCCUUCUGGACUGACACUGACACUGAGGUGCGAAAGCGUGGGUAGCAAACAGGAUUAGAUACCCCAGUAGUC